AACGAACGCUGGCGGCAUGCCUAACACAUGCAAGUCGAACGAGACCUUCGGGUCUAGUGGCGCACGGGUGCGUAACGCGUGGGAACCUGCCCUUAGGUUCGGAAUAACUCCCCGAAAGGGGUGCUAAUGCAGGAUAAUGUCUUCGGACCAAAGAUUUAUCGCCGUUGGAUGGGCCCGCGUUGGAUUAGCGAGUUGGUAGGGUAAAAGCCUACCAAGGCGACGAUCCAUAGCUGGUCGGAGAGGAUGAUCCGCCACACUGGGACUGAGACACGGCCCAGACUCGUACGGGAGGGAGCAGUGGGGAAUAUUGUACGAUGGGCGAAAGCCUGAUACAGCAAUGCGCGGUGAGUGAUGAAGGCGUUAGGGUUGUAAAGCUCUUUUACCCGAGAUGAUAAUGACAGUACCGGGUGAAUAAGCUCCGGCUAACUCCGUG
rnacentral:rRNA from 1 species